rnacentral:rRNA from 1 species
ACCGCAUAAGCGCACAGCAUCGCAUGGUGCAGUGUGAAAAACUCCGGUGGUAUAAGAUGGACCCGCGUUGGAUUAGCUAGUUGGUGAGGUAACGGCCCACCAAGGCGACGAUCCAUAGCCGACCUGAGAGGGUGACCGGCCACAUUGGGACUGAGACACGGCCCAAACUCCUACGGGAGGCAGCAGUGGGGAAUAUUGCACAAUGGGCGAAAGCCUGAUGCAGCGACGCCGCGUGAGCGAAGAAGUAUUUCGGUAUGUAAAGCUCUAUCAGCAGGGAAGAUAAUGACGGUACCUGACUAAGAAGCACCGGCUAAAUACGUGCCAGCAGCCGCGGUAAUACGUAUGGUGCAAGCGUUAUCCGGAUUUACUGGGUGUAAAGGGAGCGCAGGCGGUGCGGCAAGUCUGAUGUGAAAGCCCGGGGCUCAACCCCGGUACUGCAUUGGAAACUGUCGUACUAGAGUGUCGGAGGGGUAAGCGGAAUUCCUAGUGUAGCGGUGAAAUGCGUAGAUAUUAGGAGGAACACCAGUGGCGAAGGCGGCUUACUGGACGAUAACUGAC